AAGCGUCCUGUUCCAUGCUCCAGAACCCUUGAGAUGGGAAGGACCUUGGAGAGCACCUGAUAAAGCCUUUCCGUUCCCUAUUGCCGCGAUGGGGAGCUUGUCCCCUCGAGGCAAAGAGCACACAGGCGUGUUGGGAUGACUGGGUUUUGCUGGUCUUCAAUCUGUAACGUUGGAAUUGUUUUCACUACCCUGCCUCUUCUUCAUUCUGCCUGAUUCUCCAGAGGAAGAAGAGGUGGAUAAGAUGAUGGAACAGAAGAUGAAGGAAGAACAGGAGAGAAGAAAGAAAAAGGAGAUGGAAGAGAGAAUGUCACUAGAGGAGACCAAGGAACAAAUUCUGAAGUUGGAGGAGAAGCUUUUGGCCCUACAGGAAGAGAAGCACCAGCUUUUCCUGCAGCUCAAGAAAGUUUUACAUGAGGAAGAAAAACGGAGGCGAAAGGAACAGAGUGACCUGACCACCCUGACAUCAGCUGCAUACCAGCAGAGCCUGACUGUUCACACAGGAACUCAUCUCCUCAGCAUGCAGGGUGAGGACUAAAGAAACCACCUGAUGGAACCGGCCUUCU
rnacentral:sRNA from 1 species